rnacentral:rRNA from 1 species
GACGAACGCUGGCGGCGUGCUUAACACAUGCAAGUCGAACGGUGAACGAGGGAGCUUGCUCCCUCCGGAUCAGUGGCGAACGGGUGAGUAACACGUGAGCAAUCUGCCCCGAACUCUGGGAUAAGCGUUGGAAACGACGUCUAAUACCGGAUACGACGCGGGAGGGCAUCCUCUCCGCGUGGAAAGAACUUCGGUUCGGGAUGAGCUCGCGGCCUAUCAGCUUGUUGGUGUGGUAACGGCUCACCAAGGCGACGACGGGUAGCCGGCCUGAGAGGGUGACCGGCCACACUGGGACUGAGACACGGCCCAGACUCCUACGGGAGGCAGCAGUGGGGAAUAUUGCACAAUGGGCGCAAGCCUGAUGCAGCAACGCCGCGUGAGGGACGACGGCCUUCGGGUUGUAAACCUCUUUUAGCAGGGAAGAAGCGAAAGUGACGGUACCUGCAGAAAAAGCACCGGCUAACUACGUG